AAUUAUUGGGCGUAAAGCGUCCGCAGGCGGCCCUUUCAAGUCUGCUGUUAAAAAGUGGAGCUUAACUCCAUCGUGGCAGUGGAAACUGUUGGGCUAGAGUGUGGUAGGGGCAGAGGGAAUUCCCGGUGUAGCGGUGAAAUGCGUAGAUAUCGGGAAGAACACCAGUGGCGAAGGCGCUCUGCUGGGCCAUAACUGACGCUCAUGGACGAAAGCCAGGGGAGCGAAAGGGAUUAGAUACCCCUGUAGUCCUGGCCGUAAACGAUGAACACCAGGUGUCGGGGGAAUCGACCCCCUCGGUGUCGUAGCCAACGCGUUAAGUGUUCCGCCUGGGGAGUACGCACGCAAGUGUGAAACUCAAAGGAAUUGACGGGGGCCCGCACAAGCGGUGGAGUAUGUGGUUUAAUUCGAUGCAACGCGAAGAACCUUACCAGGGUUUGACAUCCUGCGAAUCUCCUGGAAACGGGAGAGUGCCUUCGGGAACGCAGUGACAGGUGGUGCAUGGCUGUCGUCGGCUCGUGUCGUGAGAUGUUGGGUUAAGUCCCGCAACGAGCGCAACCCACGUCUUUAGUUGCCAGCAUUUAGUUGGGCACUCUAGAGAGACCGCCGGUGAUAAACCGGAGGAAGGUGUGGAUGACGUCAAGUCAUCAUGCCCCUUACAUCCUGGGCUACACACGUACUACAAUGCUACGGACAAAGGGCAGCAAACUCGCGAGAGCUAGCAAAUCCCAUAAACCGUGGCUCAGUUCAGAUCGUAGGCUGCAACUCGCCUACGUGAAGGAGGAAUCGCUAGUAAUCGCAGGUCAGCAUACUGCGGUGAAUACGUUCCCGGGCCUUGUACACACCGCCCGUCACACCAUGGAAGUUGGCCACGCCCGAAGCCGUUACUCCAACCCUUGUGGAGGAGGACGUCGAAGGUGGGGCUGAUGACUGGGGUGAAGUCGUAACAAGGUAGCCGUAAAUC
rnacentral:rRNA from 1 species